GCAUAUCAAUAAGCGGAGGAAAAGAAACCAACAGGGAUUGCCCCAGUAACGGCGAGUGAAGCGGCAAGAGCUCAAAUUUGAAAGCUGGCUCCUUCGGGGUCCGCAUUGUAAUUUGCAGAGGAUGUUUCGGGAGUGGCCCCCAUCUAAGUGUCCUGGAACGGACCGUCAUAGAGGGUGAGAAUCCCGUAUGGGAUGGGGUGCCCACGCCCGUGUGAAACUCCUUCGACGAGUCGAGUUGUUUGGGAAUGCAGCUCUAAAUGGGUGGUAAAUUUCAUCUAAAGCUAAAUAUUGGCCGGAGACCGAUAGCGCACAAGUAGAGUGAUCGAAAGAUGAAAAGCACUUUGAAAAGAGAGUUAAAAAGCACGUGAAAUUGUUGAAAGGGAAGCGUUUGCGAUCAGACUCGCCGACGGGGUUCAGCCUGCCUUCGGGCAGGUGUACUUCCCCGCCGGCGGGCCAGCGUCGGUUUGGGUGGCCGGUCAAAGGCCCUAGGAAUGUAACGCCUCUCGGGGCGUCUUAUAGCCUAGGGUGUCAUGCGGCCUACCCGGACCGAGGAACGCGCUUCGGCUCGGACGCUGGCAUAAUGGUCGUAAACGACCCGUCUUGAAACACGGACCAAGGAGUCUAACAUCUAUGCGAGUGUUCGGGUGUCAAACCCGUGCGCGAAGUGAAAGCGAACGGAGGUGGGAACCCUUUGGGUGCACCAUCGACCGAUCCUGAUGUCUUCGGAUGGAUUUGAGUAAGAGCAUAGCUGUUGGGACCCGAAAGAUGGUGAACUAUGCCUGAAUAGGGCGAAGCCAGAGGAAACUCUGGUGGAGGCUCGCAGCGGUUCUGACGUGCAAAUCGAUCGUCAAAUUUGGGUAUAGGGGCGAAAGACUAAUCGAACCAUCUAGUAGCUGGUUCCUGCC
rnacentral:rRNA from 1 species